AGAAAGAUAAGCAGCAGUAUAAAGCAUCUUCGGAUGCGUUCGAUUCUAGAGUAAAAUUAUUUUAUGGAGAACAAACUAUCAAUUGAAUACAUCAAGAUCUUCAAGUGAAGUUAAAUAUAAAUCACUAGAUGUUGCGACUCGUGAGCAUCAAUGACUGCUAUAUUUGUUCAAGGAUUUGAGAGUUGAAUGUCACGUUGUUAUGGAGAACAUAACAACAAGUAUGAUGAAAACCAUUUCUUCCACAAUCUUU
rnacentral:lncRNA from 1 species